GUGCCAGCCGCCGCGGUAAUACGUAGGUGGCAAGCGUUGUCCGGAAUUACUGGGUGUAAAGGGCGUGUAGGCGGGGAUGCAAGUCAGAUGUGAAAUUCCGGGGCUCAACUCCGGCGCUGCAUCUGAAACUGUAUCUCUUGAGUGCUGGAGAGGAAAGCGGAAUUCCUAGUGUAGCGGUGAAAUGCGUAGAUAUUAGGAGGAACACCAGUGGCGAAGGCGGCUUUCUGGACGGUAACUGACGCUGAGGCGCGAAAGCGUGGGGAGCGAACAGGAUUAGAUACCCUGGUAGUCCACGCCGUAAACGAUGGAUACUAGGUGUAGGGGGUAUCGACCCCCUCUGUGCCGGAGUUAACACAAUAAGUAUCCCACCUGGGGAGUACGACCGCAAGGUUGAAACUUAAAUGAAUUGACGGGG
rnacentral:rRNA from 1 species